AGGACGAAUCUUUCAGGAGCCGAGAAAGGAAAGAGGAAGAAGAGAAAAACCGCCAAAAUAAAGGUCUGUCUGCAUGUUAAUCAAAGACAUUUGUGAAGGUGUGUGACUGAUCAAUAAUCAAUAUUAUUGGCAGAAAUAGAGGGCCUCAAAAUCACAGUUUGCUGAGGGCCCCGUUGAGGUUCGGGCCGGCUCUGAUUUUGACCGUUUUCAUUUCAGGGGGCGGUGCCAUCCCACAUCACGUCCCCUCAGCUGGAGUCCUGAGCCUCAGACUCCAGAGUCGUCCUCUCCUCUCUUCUCUCCUCUCCUCUCUCCUCUCCUCUCCUCUCCUCUCCUCUCCUCUCCUCUCCUCUCCUCUCCUCUCUCCUCUCCUCCCCUCUCCUCUCCUUCUGUUUGUAUGUAAAUGUUGUUUCUUCUUUUGUCUGUAUUUGAUCUUAUUCAUGUUAAUUUUCCCUUUCAGAAACAGUUUUCUGCACGCACACGUCACCCU